CUCCGGGUGGUCUAGUUGGUUCAUGGCGUUCGACUGUAAUUGAUUCAGGUUAUCGAAAAGUCAGCGGUUCGAUUCCGCUUCUGGAGA